CUACGGGUUGCUCCAGUGGGGAAUAUUGGACAAUGGGGGAAACCCUGAUCCAGCAAUGCCGCGUGUGUGAAGAAGGCCUGCGGGUUGUAAAGCACUUUCGGUUGGGAGGACUGCUUCUAGCACUAAUAUUGUUGGAAGUUGACGUUACCUUCAGAAGAAGCACCGGCUAACUCCGUGCCAGCAGCCGCGGUAAUACGGAGGGUGCAAGCGUUAAUCGGAAUUACUGGGCGUAAAGCGCGCGUAGGCGGCUAGAUCAGUCGGGUGUGAAAGCCCCGGGCUUAACCUGGGAACUGCAUCCGAUACUGUCUAGCUUGAGUACAGGAGAGGAGAGUGGAAUUCCACAUGUAGCGGUGAAAUGCGUAGAUAUGUGGAGGAACACCAAUGGCGAAGGCGGCUCUCUGGCCUGAUACUGACGCCGAGGUGCGAAAGCGUGGGGAGCAAACAGGAUUAGAUACCCCGGUAGUC
rnacentral:rRNA from 1 species